rnacentral:rRNA from 1 species
UGAGGAAUAUUGGUCAAUGGACGCAAGUCUGAACCAGCCAUGCCGCGUGAAGGAUGAAGGCCUUCUGGGUUGUAAACUUCUUUUAUGUGGGAAGAAAACUACGGUUUCUACUGUAGCCGACGGUACCAUAGGAAUAAGCACCGGCUAACUCCGUGCCAGCAGCCGCGGUAAUACGGAGGGUGCAAGCGUUAUCCGGAUUCACUGGGUUUAAAGGGUGUGUAGGCGGGCUAUUAAGUCAGUGGUGAAAUCUCAGGGCUCAACCCUGAAACUGCCAUUGAUACUAUUAGUCUUGAAUUCUGUUGAGGUGGGCGGAAUAUGUCAUGUAGCGGUGAAAUGCUUAGAUAUGACAUAGAACACCGAUUGCGAAGGCAGCUCACUAAGCAGCGAUUGACGCUGAGGCACGAAAGCGUGGGGAUCAAACA